rnacentral:piRNA from 1 species
CUGCCUGUGCUCAUUGAAUUCACUAAG